GACGAACGCUGGCGGCGUGCUUAACACAUGCAAGUCGAACGGUGAUGCUCCAGCUUGCUGGAGUGGAUCAGUGGCGAACGGGUGAGUAACACGUGAGCAACCUGCCCCAGACUCUGGAAUAAGCGCUGGAAACGGCGUCUAAUACUGGAUACGAAACUGGCCCGCAUGGGCAUGGUUUGGAAAGUUUUUCGGUUUGGGAUGGGCUCGCGGCCUAUCAGCUUGUUGGUGAGGUAAUGGCUCACCAAGGCGACGACGGGUAGCCGGCCUGAGAGGGCGACCGGCCACACUGGGACUGAGACACGGCCCAGACUCCUACGGGAGGCAGCGGUGGGGAAUAUUGCACAAUGGGCGAAAGCCUGAUGCAGCGACGCCGCGUGAGGGAUGACGGCCUUCGGGUUGUAAACCUCUUUCAGCAGGGAAGAAGCGAAAGUGACGGUACCUGCAGAAGAAGCACCGGCUAACUACGUG
rnacentral:rRNA from 1 species